AGAGUUUGAUCCUGGCUCAGGAUCAACGCUGGCGGCGUGCCUAACACAUGCAAGUCGAACGCGAAAGGCGCCUUCGGGUGCUGAGUAGAGUGGCGAACGGGUGAGUAACGCGUGGGUGAUCUACCUAAGAGAGGGGGAUAACUCGGGGAAACCCGGGCUAAUACCGCAUACGCCUGCAAGGGGAAAGGUUUCGAUCGCUCUUAGAGGAGCCCGCGUCCGAUUAGCUAGUUGGUGAGGUAAGAGCUCACCAAGGCGACGAUUGGUAGCCGGUCUGAGAGGACGGACGGCCACACUGGGACUGAGACACGGCCCAGACUCCUACGGGAGGCAGCAGUGGGGAAUUUUGGGCAAUGGGCGCAAGCCUGACCCAGCAACGCCGCGUGGAGGACGAAGGUUUUCGGAUCGUAAACUCCUGUCCAGAGGGACGAAGACAAGUGACGGUACCUCUGGAGGAAGCCCCGGCUAACUCCGUGCCAGCAGCCGCGGUAAUACGGGGGGGGCAAGCGUUGUUCGGAAUUACUGGGCGUAAAGGGCGCGUAGGCGGCUCUAGAAGUCAUGGGUGAAAGCCCCGGGCUCAACCCGGGAAGGGCCUGUGAAACCACGGGGCUGGAGUGCUGGAGAGGGAAGCGGAAUUCCCAGUGUAGCGGUGAAAUGCGCAGAUAUUGGGAGGAACAUCGGUGGCGAAGGCGGCUUUCUGGACAGACACUGACGCUGAGGCGCGAAAGCCAGGGGAGCGAACGGGAUUAGAUACCCCGGUAGUCCUGGCUGUAAACGAUGAACACUUGGUGUGGGGGGUGAUGAAAGUCCUUCCGUGCCGGAGAAAACUCAUUAAGUGUUCCGCCUGGGGAGUACGGCCGCAAGGCUGAAACUCAAAGGAAUUGACGGGGGCCCGCACAAGCGGUGGAGCAUGUGGUUUAAUUCGACGCAACGCGAAGAACCUUACCGGGGUUUGAACUGCUCAGGCAACCUCCAGAGAUGGGGGGUUCCUUACGGACUUGAGCAUAGGUGCUGCAUGGCUGUCGUCAGCUCGUGUCGUGAGAUGUUGGGUUAAGUCCCGCAACGAGCGCAGCCCUUGUUUGUAGUUGCCAUAAGGUGAAGCUGGGCACUCUACGGAGACUGUCGGCGAAAAGCCGGAGGAAGGUGGGGAUGACGUCAAGUCCUCAUGGCCUUUAUGUCCCGGGCUACACACGUGCUACAGUGGGCGGUACAGAGGGCCGCGACCCUGCGAAGGCAAGCGAAUCCCAGAAAACCGCUCUCAGUUCGGAUUGCAGUCUGCAACUCGACUGCAUGAAGGUGGAAUCGCUAGUAAUCGCGGAUCAGAACGCCGCGGUGAAUACGUUCCCGGGCCUUGUACACACCGCCCGUCACAUCACGAAAGUGGGCUGUACUAGAAGCCGCCGGCCUAACCUUAGGGAAGGAGGCGUCGACGGUAUGGCUCAUGAUUGGGGUGAAGUCGCAACAAGGUA
rnacentral:rRNA from 1 species